rnacentral:rRNA from 1 species
CCUACGUGGGGCAGCAGUAGGGAAUUUUCGGCAAUGGGGGGAACCCUGACCGAGCAACGCCGCGUGAACGAAGAAGUUAUUCGUAAUGUAAAGUUCUUUUAACAGGGAAGAACGAGAAAUUUGACGGUACCUGAAGAAUAGGCUCCGGCUAACUACGUGCAAGCAGCCGCGGUCAUACGUAGGGCGCGAGCGUUAUCAGGAGUUAUUGGGCGAAAGGGGUGCGUAGAUGGCAUAGUAAGUCUUUGGUAAAAAUGCUGGGCUCUACCCAGUAGGGCAAAAGAUACUGCAAAGCUAGAGUAUGACAGAGGCAAGUGGAACUACAUGUGUAGCGGUAAAAUGCGUAAAUAUAUGUAAGAACACCAGUGGCGAAGGCGGCUUGCUGGGUCGAUACUGACAUUGAGGCACGAAAGCGUGGGGAGCAAACAGGAUUAGAUACCCCGGUAGUC